rnacentral:rRNA from 1 species
GUGGGGAAUAUUGGGCAAUGGGCGCAAGCCUGACCCAGCCAUGCCGCGUGAGUGAUGAAGGCCUUCGGGUCGUAAAGCUCUGUGGAGAGGGAAGAACAACGCUCUGGCUAACAUCCAGGGCGCCUGACGGUACCUCUUUAGCAAGCACCGGCUAACUUCGUGCCAGCAGCCGCGGUAAUACGAGGGGUGCAAACGUUGCUCGGAAUCAUUGGGCGUAAAGCGCACGUAGGCGGCCUGUUAAGUCGGGUGUGAAAGCCCAGGGCUCAACCCUGGAAGUGCACUCGAUACUGGCAGGCUAGAAUAUGGAAGAGGGUCGCGGAAUUCCCGGUGUAGAGGUGAAAUUCGUAGAUAUCGGGAGGAACACCAGUGGCGAAAGCGGCGACCUGGGCCAAUAUUGACGCUGAGGUGCGAAAGCGUGGGGAGCAAACAGGAUUAGAAACCCGAGUAGUCC